rnacentral:ncRNA from 1 species
AAAAGCCGUAUGAAGUGAGAGCUUCACGUACGGUUUUGUGAGAGAUUUGGGGUGAAAUUCCCCUUAUCUACUCGAC